rnacentral:rRNA from 1 species
UAAAGGGCUGCAGUAUAUUGACUGUACAAAGGUAGCAUAAUCAUUAGUCUUUUAAUUGAAGACUUGUAUGAAAGAUUUGAUGAAAUAUAAACUGUCUCUAAUUUAUAAAUAGAAAUUAAUUUUUUAAUUAAAAAGUUAAAAUAUUAUUAAAAGACGAGAAGACCCUAUAGAGUUUUAUAAUUUAUUUAUUUAAUUAUAAAAUAUAUAUUUAAAUUUAAUAAAUAGAUAAAUUAUUAUAUUGGGGUGAUAAAAAAAUUUAAUAAACUUUUUUUAAUUAAAUAACAUAAAUAAAUGAAAAAAUGAUCCAUUAUUAAUGAUUAAAAGAAAAAAUUACCUUAGGGAUAACAGCGUAAUAUUUUUUUUUAGUACAAAUAAAAAAAAAAGUUUGCGACCUCGAUUUUGGAUUAAGAUAAAAUUUAAAUGCAAAAGUUUAAAAGUUUUGAUCUGUUCGAUCAUUAAAAUCUUACAUGAUCUGAGCUA